GUGCCCACUUCAGCGGCACAUUUACUAAAAUUGGAACAAUAUAGAGAAGAUUAGCAUGGCCUCUGCCAAGGACGACAUGCAAAUUCGUGAAGUGCUCCAUAUUUUU